UACGUAGGGUGCAGGCGUUAAUCGGAAUUACUGGGCGUAAAGCGUGCGCAGGCGGUCUGCUAAGAGAGAUGUGAAAUCCCCGGGCUUAACCUGGGAACUGCGUUUCUAACUGGCAGGCUUGAGUGUGGCAGAGGGGGGUGGAAUUCCACGUGUAGCAGUGAAAUGCGUAGAUAUGUGGAGGAACACCGAUGGCGAAGGCAGCCCCCUGGGCUAACACUGACGCUCAUGCACGAAAGCGUGGGGAGCAAACAGG
rnacentral:rRNA from 1 species